AUUUUAACAUUUAAAGUUUAUCUAUCGAGAGCGAAUAAAAGUUGUUACAAAUUGGGUUUUUAAAAGUUGUAGAAGCUCAAAUGAUUUGAAGAUAAUUACAAGUUUAAUAUUCGAUAAAGUCCAGUCAAACUAAGUUUGAACCUCAAACUAAUUGCUCAGAAAAUGUUUUAGUUCUCAUUAAUAGCACUCAGCCACAAAUAUACACAGAAACAAAGUGCCAGGAAAUCUUACUUGAGGAAAACUCAAAAUCAGCAUUUUUAAUUUCUUAUGGAAUUAACAUUGGAAAGGGAGAUAACUCCGCAAAACUUAUUUUUUUUUUUGGGGGGG
rnacentral:lncRNA from 1 species